AUUGAAGGGAAAAUGGCGGAUAGCGUUACAUGGACCGUGAAUAUGUGUUUAAUGUUUCAAAAAAAAUAGCUACUUGUAUCAAUAACAGGUAACACCAGACUGACAGUUGCGAAGUGUUUCUGUGGUUAGGAGGCACUUGUGAUCCAGAGAAUCUGCAUUUAGUAGGAAAGUUGCAGCAGAAGAUCGGACUUGGGGCCAGCCUGUAAGAUCGACUUCUAAUAAGGAGCAACACCGGCAUUUGUCAGGAGGCAUGCAGGCUUGGAAUCAGUGGAGCACUGCCGCCGCCGGAUAUGCUGCUGCCGCCGCUGCCCAGGCAUACCCCGCAACUGCAGCGGCUGCAGCCCCCACUGCGGCGGCCACAGCUUCUCCGUACACCAUGCAGUACGGUUACUAUGCUGCCACUCCCACAGCUGCGACCCCUGCCAUUGCCUCGGCAGCUGCAACUGCGACAGAUGUUGCAGCAAACUAUACUGCCUCCCAGCAGUGGAAUGUGAAUCUUGUACAGCAACAAUGGCAGCAGUGGCAGCAAUGGCAACAGCAGUUUCAACAGUGGCAGCAACAGUUUGGAGACAAGUAUCACGAAUCGAUGGCAGCCAUGGGAACAACGCCAGUUCCUGCUGCAACAGUAACUCCAGCUGCGCCACCGACAAUGCCACCGCCGGAAGUGGCUGCGCCGCCGCCUCUGCCGCCCCCAGAUACUAAGCCUCCAGUUGCACCAGCUCCACCCCCACCACCUGAGGAAACUGCAGACACUACUGCUACGACCACUGCUUCGAUUACAGAUCCGUACAGGACUGCUGCGCCGAAGCCUCCAGAUGCACCUCCUCCCACUCCUGUUACAGUGCCUCCACCACCAAUGACUGAUCCGUACGGUGCUGCUGUGACGGCAGGUUACAGUACUGCGUCCAGCUAUGGGACCCCAUACGCGAUGCCGCCUCCCACCCAACUGCCACCUAUGCAACAGCCGCCUCCUGUCCAACAGCCACCUCCUGUCCAACAGCCUCCACAUGUGCAACAGCCCCCUCCCGUACAGCAGCCCCCACCUCCCGUCACCGCCGCUCCCCCUCCUUCUGUACCACCGAUGACUGGCGGCUGGGGAGACACAACUGCUAUGGGAGGAUAUGGCGUGGGCAGCAAAAGACCAUAUGAUGCGACUGGGGAGCCACCCCCACAGUUUUCCCACCCACCACCCAAUGUUGGUGGCGGUGACAACAAGAAGAUGCGUCCUGGAGAUUACCAGUAUGGAGGUGAACGUGACAGAGGAGGUGGAGGUAGAUGGGGACAAGAUGACAACUCUUCUCAUAAGACUGAGCCAGACCAACGUGCUGUUAAGGAUAACCCAGAUGAGUUAUCGGAAGCAGAAAAGGCCUUUGAUAUACAGUUUAAGCAGUGGGAAGAGCAGUUCAACAAAUGGAAGGAGCAAAAUAUCAACCAUCCAGAUAAGGUACAGUACAGAGAGUAUGAAGCAAAAUGGGAGAAUUGGCGAGCACAGCUGCUUCACAGGAGAGAGCAAAUGCGCCGUAAGCGAGAAAAUUCUAAUAAAACUGUGGAUCCAAACCGAGCUGGUCGUGGAAAGCCUAACCGUGACCGCAACAGUGUGAGUAGUGGUCCUCCUGUGGGAGGAUACUUCACUACUCCUCCACAGGGGGAUCAACAGCAACAUCAAGAACAGCAACAAGACCAAAAGCAGCAACAAGAUGACCAACAGCAAACACAGCUGAAUGCUGACAGUGACUACCGCCAGACACCUGCCAAACAAGAGGGGGGUGGGGUAACUGACACAGAGCAGAAGACAGAACCAGAUGACGGCAGUGGCAUUCAGGCAUCUGCAGAGACAGACCAAUCUCAGACAGGUCAGGAUGGCACAGAAGGGAGGGACGUAAAAGAAGAAACAGCGGAGAAACCCUCUAAAUCUAGCCCUGUGAAAGAUGGCGUGAUCCCAGGCUUGGAUCUAUUAACAAAUGAUGGGGAGAAGAAAGAAUCUGCAGACGGACAUGGGGCCACUGAAGAAACCGAAAAUAGUGCCAAAGACACAGACGAUCGUGCAGACCACUUGACAUCUGCGUCAGGCCAAGACUCCACUUUUUUGAAUCAGAAUGCUGGUGGACAAAACUCCACUGGGGCCCAGGGAUCAUCAUUUAUUGACCAGAGUUCACUGCAGCCUAACAAACAAGAGGAGGAUAGUGGAAAUCAUGAAUUGGACAGUUCUUCCGAAUUGCAGACAACUAAACAGUAUGGCAAUAGAGAAGCUCCCACUGGGCAGAGCAUGGGCCAGGCUAGUGGAAACACACAGUUCACAAAUCAGCCUCCUCCACUUUUUGGAAGCCAGCCACUGGGAGGUUCUGACAAUAGGGGCCCACCACCUCCCUUUGGCAAGGGUGGAUUUGCAAAUCCCCCACCAGGUGUACCCCCUCAGUUCGGCGGAGCAAAUCAGCUACCACCCAGUCAACAGUAUGGGAACCAAAAUUUCCAGCCAGGACCUGGCAAUCAAUUUGGAGGUCCACAGUCUGGACCAGGAGGUCCCAACAGAGGUCCUCCACCAUUUGGAGGAGGUAAUUUUGGACAGCCUCCUCCAAAUGCCCAGGGAUUCGGCAACCAGGGACCACCAAACUUCGGUAGGGGCGGUCCCGGAGGUCCACAAGGUUUUGGAGGGCCGAGAGGACCACCGAAUUUCGGAAACAAUCCGCCAGGUGGUCUGGGUGGAUUUGGCAAUCAGGGACCGCCAGGAGGACCCGGUGGGUUUGGAAAUCAGGGAAGAGGCCGUGAUGGACCACCGUUCGGAAGUGGAGGCCCUAGAUUUGGAAGCGGUCAGAGUUUUCCUCAGGGAGGGCCGAAACCUUGGGCUUCUGAUGACUGGCAAAAGCCCCCGAUCAAAGAGGGAGGUGGUCUCCUGGGAAAUUAUCCUGCCGAGAAAGAUAAUACUGACAGGGAACGCCCUCCAGGAUACCCUCCGCCUCUGCUAGGUCCUCGCGAACUUCGUCGCGACCAAGACUUUGGCGGCUUUCGCGGAGGCAGAGGGGGACCUAUGGGUCGAGGUGGGGGGCGUGGGGGUUGGCAACACAGGGGAGGUCGAGGAAGGUUUGGGCCGGGGCCAGGGCCACCAGAAGAUGGACGUGGCGGCAAUGACCAGGAUGAAGACCUCUAUACAGACCCAUUUGCUGACUCUCCAGAUGAAAUUGGGGCGUCAUCACAGGGGGGUGACGGCGAAUGGUGCCACGGUGAUGAACCACCCCCUGAGCCACGUGGCUUGUGGCAGCGGGGACCCAGGUUCAAUUCUCCCUCUCCGUGGGGUGCAGAUGGGACUGAAUACAGCGAGUGGUCAGAUGGUCCCGACAGGUAUGCUUCCGAGAGAGACACUUACGCUCCUCGAGGCCCCCCUGGACGUGGAGGUGGGUGGGCACCUGAUGCCACCCAACCCCAUGGACGUGCAGGUGGGUGGGCACCGGAUGCCCCACACCCCGCUGGACGUGCGAGCGGGUGGGCUCCUGACACUCCCCAACCCCCAGGACGUGCAGGGGGUUGGGCAUCUGAGGUCCCUGCCAUUGACCACCUGGAGCCGGCCACAGUCGUCGACUACGGCCACCGUCCUGCGACCGGGCCCCCAAGCAAAGAUGCUGCGGGUACGAAGCCUACCCAGUUUUCUGAGCCGGUGCAGACAUUUGACUACGGCCACGGCUCGAGAAGAUCUGGCUCUGCUCCUACACCUGGUCCUGCUCCUGUCACUGCUGCUCCUCCAGAUGGCUGGCGACGCAGUGACGAACCGACAUUCCGUGCCAACAGAGCUGAUCAAGAUAACAGGUUCUUUGGUAACAGAACUGAUCGUGAUAACAGAUUUCCUAGUGGCAUAGGUGAUCAGGCCAAUCUGUUCCCAAGUGGCCGAACUGAAAAAGAUAACUGGUUUCCCAGCGGUCGAGGCGAUCAGGACAACAGGUUUCCUGGCAGCCGUGGUGACCAGGACUCCAGGUUUCCUGGCAACCGAGGCGACCAGGACAGUAGGUUUCCCGGCAGUCGAGGUGACCAGGAUAUUAGGUUUCCCAGUGGUCGAGGUGACCAGGACAGUAGGUUUCCUAGUAGUCGAGGCGACCAGGAUGGUAGGUUUCCUAGCAGCCGAGGUGACCAGGAUAAUCGGUUUCUUGCAGGCAGAACAGAAGAAGAGAGCAGAUUUUUUGGGAGCAGAGAGAGGGAAUGGCAUGGUUCCGACCGGGACCGCGAGAGCAGAGACCGGGAACGUGACAGGGAGAGAGACAGAGAGAGGGACAGGGACAGGGACAGGGAGAGAGACAGGGACAGGGAACGUGAGAGGGAGAGGGACAGGCUAAGCCGCGACAGAGAGCGUGACAGGGACAGAGAGCGCGACAGGGAUCGGGACCGCGAGCGGGAUAGGGACAGAGACAGAGACAGGGAUAGGGACAGAGAGAGGGAUAGAGACAGGGACAGGGACUGGGAGAGGGAGAGGGACCGGGACAGGGAUCGAGACCGGGACAGAGAGAGGGACCGUGGCAGAGACCGGGACCGGGACCGCGACAGGGACGAUUACGCAAAGCGUGAUCGGGAUAUGCGGUGGGAGCGCGAUAGGCCACCACGAGAUGCCGAUGACAGGAGCAAAGACGACAGAGUAAAAGAGAGAAUGUCACGGUGGGAAGAAUCUGAAAGAAACAGAUUCAGUAAUAGCAGUGAUCGUUGGGGACCAAAGGGAGGCAGUCGUGGAUAUGACAGUCGAGACAGAAUGCCACUGAACUCUUUCGACAAUGACAGCCAGGCCCAGAAUGCCCUUGCAGAUGCGGCGCCCCCUCCUCCGCCGCCCCCUCCCAUCAGCAACAACUCAGCAAUUGGCGACGGCAUCCCAGCCACUAUGGAUGGACCCCCGCCGCCUCCCUCACUUGCUCCUUCGACUCAGGAACCAGUCGUACGUUCUGUCAUGGUGGAAGACUUGCUGCAGAGUCCUGGGAGACUGCAACGCCCCACGAGGAUCGUCAUCAUACUUCGAGGUCCUCCCGGGUCUGGGAAGACAUUUGUCGCAAAACUCAUCAAGGAUAAAGAAGUUGAAAUGGGUGGUUCAGCUCCUAGAAUUCUCUGCCUUGAUGAUUACUUUAUGGUCGAAUCUGAGAAAGAAGAUAAAGAUCCAGAAACAGGGCGGAAGAUUAUUACCAAGGUGAUGGUGUACGAGUAUGAAGCAGGCAUGGAUAAGCAUUACCAUGGUUCAUUAUUGAAAGCAUUCAAGAAAACAGUGAAUGAUGGAUACUUUCCCUUUAUAAUUGUUGACUGCAUCAAUGAUAAAGUAAAGCAAUUUGAAGAAAUGUGGAGCUAUGCAAAGCAGAAGGGUUUUCAGGUAUACAUCUGUGAAAUGGAUAUGGACGCUUCAGUGUGCUCGAAGAGGAACAUCCACAAUCGUUCAGAGAAAGACAUCAGUGAGAUCAUCGAAAACUGGGAGCCUACUCCGAAACACUACCUCCGCCUUGAUGUUCGCUCAUUGCUACAAUCGGUCGCUAUCACAGAGGUGGAAAUGGAGGAUACUGCAGCUGAUGUGGAAAAGGACGACUCAAAAGCUGUAACUGAAACACAAGACAGUAUAUCUGACAAGGAACCAGAGGGAGAUGAAACUGAGAAGGAUGGUGAUGAGGAGUUGGAGAACAGCACUACGUACACGAGCAAGUGGGAGCGCAUGGAGCCUUCUGGUGAUAAACUGAAUCGGCUUGACGGGCUUGGGAGGAUGCAGAGGGCGAGCCACUCCGACUCAAAGCCGCGCUCCCUGGAAGACUGGCUUCAGUUAAGUGACGAGUAUGUGCAGCGAGAAGCUACACCGGGAAAGAAGCGGGUCACGCCAGCAGCUCAGUGGAACUCACUGUCAUCCUCAGACGUCGGCAGAGAAACAGUACUGUUCCCGGUCCUCCACGCCCUUAUGCACAGUGCGCUGCUCACCACAGUGACCUAGUAUGUUAUCUUGCAAGAAUGAAGCGACCAGCUAGUCCAAAUGCUAGAGCUACCACUGCUCCUACUCCACAUUGGAGAUGUAUGAGGGAAGUCUUUGGCGAUUUGGAUGAUGGAUUCACUAUACUGUACACAAAUGACUUGAUAAAGAUGACAUAAACAGUUUUGCAGUCAACACAGUAUUGUUGCAGAUUAUAAUGAUGAUGACUGUUAUACUUCAUCGAUAACUUCAUGCCUGAGCAGGCUGAGCAUUUGGGGAUUUGAAGACAUAUAGCAGCUUUGCAUACUGCAUUAUCCAAAUGGAUUGCAUUGUACAUGAUAAUGUGGAAUCACUUUCGGCAACAAAGUCUAAUGAUGAGGAUCAGCUGUGUCUGACAGUAACUUCACACCGCAGCAUGCUGAGAGUUUGUGGAUUAUGAGACAUGUGCAGCUUCACCUGAUGAAAUAUCCAAAGUAAUAGAUGAGUGUCUUGUACACAAAGAUGCAGCAUCACCAUCAGCAAAGAUAUGUGUGUUGUUGCAGAUGACUGUGUCAGUACUGAGGUUGAAAUCAUCAACAUAUUGUCAAGUAAUGAGGAUGAGGAUAUUGUUUUAUCAUCAGAUGAUGAAGGCAAUGAUGUAAUUAAUUAAAUAAAUAAUAAUGUUAAACAUUGA
rnacentral:misc_RNA from 1 species